AGUCCAUGGGGUCACAUAGAGUCAGACACGACUUAGCAACUGAACAAGGACAAACAACUUUAGAUCUGUCCUGAAAAUGCAGUUCAAAUCCUGUAGCAGUUACCCCAGAAAAUAAUUCUACGGAAUGAUCACCUUGUGAUGCCACUGAAUGAGGGUCACUCAGGUAUAUAACACAUUCAAUUUGCUAAAAUCAACCUAAAUACAUGCUGUGAAUUAAAAUGUGAUGUAUGUUGUAAUGGU